CCAUAUUACAUUGAAACACCAAUUCCUGUACAAUCACCAAAGUUAAGCAACAUUGAAUCUGGUCAGUACCUAGAUGGGUGACUGCUUGGGAAUACCAAGUGCUGUA